CCCUUAGAUGUUCUGGGCAGCACGCGCGCUACAAUGGUCUUCGCAAACGGAUGCAUUCUCGAAGGAGAAUGCCAAUCUUGGAAUCUAUGCCUUGGUCGGGACAGUUGCUUGCAAUUUUUCGACUCGAACCAGGAAUUCCUUGUAAUCGUGAUUCAUCACAUCACGAUGAAUACGUCCCUGCCCUUUGUACACACCGCCCGUCGAUCCUACCGAUCGAAGAGUUAGGUGAAUUGUUUUGAUCGAUAAGAUUUGACUAUGGUCAACUCUCGUUGUGAAAUUCUGUGAAUCUGACUGUUUAGAGGAAGGAAAAGUCGUAACA
rnacentral:rRNA from 1 species